GGAUCCCAAGGAGAUGGUCCUGACAGGGGCGGGUGAUAAGGGAAGACACACCCUGACAAGCAGCUACAAACCAUUUAGCCUUUUGUCCAAGCCUGUCUUUCAGUGUCCCCAAUUUACAUUUACUCACUUGGAAAAGCUUUAUAUGACACAAACUAUAUAUCAGGGCUGUUCUGAGGGGGUCUACAAAUGUUUACCAAUUUACUGUUCAGCACUAAUUUUUAUGCCCACUUUAUAAUAAGAAUUCCAAGACAACAGGGAGGUUAGGGAACUUUUCCAAAGUGACAGAGCUAGUGAGUGGCUGCCAAGCUCCAGGGACCACUCACUUAAUCACAGUGCCACUCUCUCCUCCAUGGUUAUUCCUGUCUCCGUAACUUGGCUCAGAUUGUUCAUCCUAUCAAGGAUGUCUGUUCUUCUCUUCAUACUUCAAAAUUCUAGCUCAUCUUUCCAGACUGGCUUGCAAUGCAGUUCCUCUAAGAAGUUUUCCUGAACAUUCUGCACCAUGCUGCAUUUGACUGGCUCUGGACUCCAAUAGCGUAGUGAUUCAGAACGUGGCGUUUGGAGUUACAGUGUAUAAGCAUCGUUCCAAACCCAACACUAUUACUUUACGACCGUUGAGCAGUUGUUUAUUUAUGAUGGAGAUUCUGCAGAUCCACCACACCAGAUCCUUAGGUUUGUUGACUCCAGAAUAUUUUUACGGACUCCUUCCGAAGUCAGUAAGACUCCAUGACUUGCAAGGAGUCAGGAAGCUACUGAAAGGUUCUCGGUCUGCAGUGGACUGGCUCUCUGCAAGACAGAUACAUGCUGUUUCCACUGAAAAUGGGGACAAGAAUUUAACUCCAUGUUGGCUGGCUCAACUUGAAAAGGGCAGGGCCUCCUGCUGCCUUCCUCUGGGGAAUGUGCCAUCAUUUGUUACUGUUUUGGAAUGUCAGCCUUUGGGAAGGAGGCAGGUGAAGAGUUAUGGACAGCAGAACCUACUAUUCUUACAACAGAAAGAACAGAACCACGUGUUUAUAAAAAGCUCUGGUUUCCCAGGGAACACUUCCUGGAGCCAAGACAUCCUCUCGCACCCUCAGGUCAUCAGCAGGGCUCCAAAUUGCCCUGGUAAGGAAAGCGAAGCUCCAGGAAACAGCUGUGAUCCCAACGGUUUUAUCGCAUUAUACUCCAUUCCUCCCUUCUCAAAAUAUAUCCUCAAAAUAUUUCAUGGAGGACCCUGUAUAGCUUUGAAUUUUUUUCUUCCUGUUCAAAGAACGAUUUGGGAUGAGUUGAUAUGUCACCUCAUACUUUCCUGGCUGCCCUGAAUGAACUAUGAA